rnacentral:rRNA from 1 species
UGAGCAAUCUGCCCUUCUCUUCGGAAUAAGCGUUGGAAACGACGUCUAAUGCCGAAUACGACCUCCUUUCGCAUGAUCGGAGGUGGAAAGCUCCGGCGGAGAAGGAUGAGCUCGCGGCCUAUCAGCUAGUUGGUGAGGUCAUGGCUCACCAAGGCGACGACGGGUAGCCGGCCUGGAGAGGGUGACCCGGCCACACGUGGGACUGAGACACGGCCCAGACCUCCGUAGGGA